UACGUAGGGUGCAAGCGUUAAUCGGAAUUACUGGGCGUAAAGCGUGCGCAGGCGGUUUUGUAAGUCUGUCGUGAAAUCCCCGGGCUCAACCUGGGAAUUGCGAUGGAGACUGCAAGGCUAGAAUCUGGCAGAGGGGGAUGGAAUUCCGCGUGUAGCAGUGAAAUGCGUAGAUAUGCGGAGGAACACCGAUGGCGAAGGCAAUCCCCUGGACCUGUACUGACGCUCAUGCACGAAAAGCGUGGGGAGCAAACAGG
rnacentral:rRNA from 1 species